UACAGAGGUCUCAAGCGUUGUUCGGAUUCAUUGGGCGUAAAGGGCGCGUAGGCGGCGGGGUAAGUCGGGUGUGAAAUCUCAGAGCUCAACUCUGAAACUGCACUCGAUACUGCUCUGCUUGAGGACUGGAGAGGAGACUGGAAUUCACGGUGUAGCAGUGAAAUGCGUAGAUAUCGUGAGGAAGACCAGUGGCGAAGGCGGGUCUCUGGACAGUUCCUGACGCUGAGGCGCGAAGGCCAGGGGAGGCAAACGGG
rnacentral:rRNA from 1 species